rnacentral:misc_RNA from 1 species
AAGGACACCAGCCGAUCGGCCUACACCCGGAGUCCCGCUGCCGUCCUGUGAAGCGAGUGAGCUCACGCAUCUCCAGAAGUCUUGCGUCUCCAGAAGUCUAGCGUCAUUCUUCACGUGCCAGCUCGUGCACCCUUUUUUUUGGUGAUUUCUCUGAUCGCGCCUCUCGCCGACGACUUUCCCUGUUCGGCGCACCUCUGACCAACGUGUUUCCACACCUGGUUUGCACAUUUAUUUUUUUGGGUACCUUUUGUUGCUCAGUUUCUUGCUUUCUGUCUCAGUACUUAUUUUUUAACUGAAAAAUAACUGAUGAAAAGAAAAAAAGCCUCUGAAACAAAGGCUGGAUUUAUUGGUGAUAAUCCUUCUUUACAAAUUAGCCCUGUAAAGUUGGGUGGAACUAAUUAUUUGGCAUCGUCUAGAUCUUGUCUACUUUUCAUUCAGGCUAGAGGACUACAGGGGUAUAUCAUUGGAGAUAGA